rnacentral:rRNA from 1 species
GAUGAACGCUGGGCGGGAGGCUUAACACAUGCAAGUCGAGGGGCAGCAUAGGGUAGCAAUACUCUGAUGGCGACCGGCAAACGGGUGAGUAACGCGUAUGCAACCUACCCUGUACAGGGGGAUAACCCGGAGAAAUUCGGACUAAUAUCCCGUAAUAAUAUCCGGAGGCAUCUUUGGAUAUUUAAAGUUCCGACGGUACGGGAUGGGCAUGCGUAACAUUAACUGGUUGGUAAGGUAACGGCUUACCAAGGCUAUGAUGUUUAGGGGUCCUGAGAGGGUGGUCCCCACACUGGUACUGAGACACGGACCAGACUCCUACGGGAGGCAGCAGUGAGGAAUAUUGGUCAAUGGGCGCAAGCCUGAACCAGCCAUCCCGCGUGCAGGAAGACGGCCCUAUGGGGUUGUAAACUGCUUUUCCAGGGAGAGAAACUUACGCACGUGUUGCGUGACUGACGGUACCCUGGGAAUAGCAUCGGCUAACUCCGUGCCAGCAGCCGCGGUAAAGUCACGUCG